GUAUUGUGCAGUGUGGUCGCGAUCGUUUUGGUGUUGCUAUUACAUCCUUCUCAUUGUAUGUAUUACGGUGCAUAGCGCGCUGGGCCCAUCGUUUACACAAACAGCGCUGAAAUUGAUUGCGCAGGUCGGCCUGUAGUGCAGCUGCAUGCAAGUGUUGACAGCCUUAAAAACUGUUGAUCGUUGUGUAGUGCAUUAUCGAGGUUGUAGGACCAACAGAGACGAUGUGGUGGACAUUUGUGCGGUGCCAGUAAUGGGUGCAUGUUGAUGCACUUUGAGAGCAACAGUGCAAACUGGGCUAUGUGUAUGGUUGCAUUGAUUUGCAUAUUGGAUUCUACAGUGGCGACACUGAGGCCAGUGUGUAAAGGUGUGACUACACCUAGCUGCGAACAUUGUGCGUGAGGAUGUUACCAAUUGCACGCGUGUCGGUAGUGUGCAUAUCCCAGCGAGAUAUGGUACUGUCUGACCCGUCUUGAAACACGGACCAAGGAGGCUAACGUAUGCGCAAGUCGAGGAGUGGUGAAACUCUAAGGCGAAACGAA
rnacentral:rRNA from 1 species